rnacentral:rRNA from 1 species
AAAGAUUAAGCCAUGCAUGUCUAAGUAUAAGCAACUAUACGGUGAAACUGCGAAUGGCUCAUUAAAUCAGUUAUCGUUUAUUUGAUAGUACCUUACUACAUGGAUAACCGUGGUAAUUCUAGAGCUAAUACAUGCUAAAAACCGCGACUUCGGAAGCGGUGUAUUUAUUAGAUAAAAAACCAAUGCCCUUCGGGGCUCCUUGGUGAAUCAUAAUAACUAAACGAAUCGCAUGGCCUUGCGCCGGCGAUGGUUCAUUCAAAUUUCUGCCCUAUCAACUUUCGAUGGUAGGAUAGUGGCCUACCAUGGUAUCAACGGGUAACGGGGAAUUAGGGUUCGACUCCGGAGAGGGAGCCUGAGAAACGGCUACCACAUCCAAGGAAGGCAGCAGGCGCGCAAAUUACCCAAUCCCGACACGGGGAGGUAGUGACAAUACAUACUGAUACAGGGCUCUUUUGGGUCUUGUAAUUGGAAUGAGUACAAUUUAAAUCCCUUAACGAGGAACAAUUGGAGGGCAAGUCUGGUGCCAGCAGCCGCGGUAAUUCCAGCUCCAAUAGCGUAUAUUAAAGUUGUUGCAGUUAAAAAGCUCGUAGUUGAACCUUGGGCCUGGCUGGCCGGUCCGCCUCACCGCGUGUACUGGUCCGGCCGGGCCUUUCCUUCUGGGGAGCCGCAUGCCCUUUACUGGGCGUGUCGGGGAACCAGGACUUUUACUGUGAACAAAUUAGAGUGUUCAAAGCAGGCCUUUGCUCGAAUACAUUAGCAUGGAAUAAUAGAAUAGGACGUGCGGUUCUAUUUUGUUGGUUUCUAGGACCGCCGUAAUGAUUAAUAGGGAUAGUCGGGGGCAUUAGUAUUCAAUUGUCAGAGGUGAAAUUCUUGGAUUUAUUGAAGACUAACUACUGCGAAAGCAUUUGCCAAGGAUGUUUUCAUUAAUCAGUGAACGAAAGUUAGGGGAUCGAAGACGAUCAGAUACCGUCGUAGUCUUAACCAUAAACUAUGCCGACUCGGGAUCGGUGGGUGUUACUAUUUUGACUCCAUCGGCACCGUACGAGAAAUCAAAGUGUUUGGGUUCUGGGGGGAGUAUGGUCGCAAGGCUGAAA